rnacentral:rRNA from 1 species
CCUACGGGUGGCAGCAGUGAGGAAUAUUGGUCAAUGGGCUUACGCCUGAACCAGCCAAGUCGCGUGAGGGAAGACUGCCCUAUGGGUUGUAAACCUCUUUUGUCAGGGAGCAACGCCGGCUACGUGUAGCCGGACUGCGAUUACCUGAAGAAAAAGCAUCGGCUAACCCCGCUCCAUCAGCCGCGGUACUAUGGAGGAUUCGAGCGUUAUCCGGAUGUAGUGGGUUUAAAGGGUGCGUAGGCGGAAUGCCAAGUCAGCGGUUAAAUGGCGGGGAUCAACCUCGCUCCGCCGUUGAAACUGGCGUUCUUGAGUGGGCGAGAGGAAUGCGGAAUGCGUGGUGUAGCGGUGAAAUGCGUAGAUAUCACGCAGAACUACGGUUGCGAAGGCAGCAUACCGGCGCCCAACUGACGCUGAAGCACGAAAGCGUGGGUAUCGAACAGGAUUAGAUACCCUAGUAGUC